rnacentral:rRNA from 1 species
UACGAGGGGGGCAAGCGUUGUUCGGAAUUAUUGGGCGUAAAGGGCGCGUAGGCGGUGCGGUAAGUCACCUGUGAAACCUCUAGGCUCAACCUAGAGCCUGCAGGCGAAACUGCCGUGCUUGAGGGUGGGAGAGGUGCGUGGAAUUCCCGGUGUAGCGGUGAAAUGCGUAGAUAUCGGGAAGAACAUCGGUGGCGAAAGCGCUCUACUGGACCGCAACUGACACUCAGGGACGAAAGCUAGGGGAGCGAAUGGG